rnacentral:rRNA from 1 species
UACGGGGGGGGCAAGCGUUGUUCGGAAUUACUGGGCGUAAAGGGUGCGUAGGCGGUGCUCUAAGUCGGAUGUGAAAACUCUGGGCUCAACCCAGAGCCUGCAUCCGAAACUGGAGUGCUAGAGUUCUGGAGGGGGUAGCGGAAUUCCUGGUGUAGCGGUGAAAUGCGUAGAUAUCAGGAGGAACACCGGUGGCGAAGGCAGCACUCUGGGCCGGAACUGACGCUGAGGAGCGAAAGCGUGGGUAGCGAACAGG